rnacentral:lncRNA from 1 species
CUAUUCUGUUUCUGCGAGUUCCUCUUUUUCUCAUUUGUCCCAUUUUUACUUUAAAUUUUGUUUCUUGAUUUCUGUUUAUAUUUUGAGUAUAGUUUAAUGGGUUUUUCUAUCAUCUCACUCAAAUCCAGGAGCUGAAUAUCAAAACCUUCAAAUUUCCAACUCAAUUCUUUGCUGGCAAAUUUUAUACAUUGAGGAUAAGGUGGUCAGUCAAGGGUCAUACAACCCUCUCGGCUACUUCUUUUGUAAAUCUCACAGAAAUCAUGUGAUGGUCAAGGUAUAUGUGGCCUUUUCUGUGUGUGUCCUUCACUGACCUCAUGGUCCAAGUCUUAUCCGACUGAACUCAUCUGUGUGUCAUUGACAACCAGGCCUGUAACAUCCCACCAGGAGCCACCAGAAGCUGGCAGAGGAUCACAGAUGCAAUGGCUGAAGCUUAAGCAUCUAUCCUGUUACAAUGAGGAUGAAGCCAGAUCUUGA